UAUGUAGGCGGUCGAUUUCUCUUAUGUGGUUAAAUCUUAAGGUUUUAUCCUUAUUUAAAGUCAUGUGAGGGGCCGACUUGUGUUGUCGAUAGGUUUGAUCAAGGCUCUGUGUAGGGGUAAUAUCCAUAGAAACAGUGGUCGAAGGCCAACUUGCGCAGGCAUCUUUCUAGCUUCAACAGACGCUGAGGGUACGGAAGCUUAGGGCGCAAACGGGAUUAGAUACCCCGGUAGUCUUUGCCGUCAACGAUGAACGUCCGGGUUAAACAGGCAAAUAGCUUGGGUAGAUUUUAGCCGAGAUGAGUUAACACGUCAAACGUUCCACCUGGGGUCUACGACCGCAAGGUUAAA
rnacentral:rRNA from 1 species